CCUACGGGGGACAGCAGUAGGGAAUAUUGCUCAAUGGGGGAAACCCUGAAGCAGCAACGCCGCGUGGAGGAUGAAGGUUUUCGGAGUGUAAACGCCUGUUGGUAGAGAAGAGAAUGACGGUAUCUAACGAAUAAGCACCGGCGAACUCCGUGCCAGCAGCCGCGGUAAUACGGAGGGUGCAAGCGUUACCCGGAAUCACUGGGCGUAAAGAGCGCGUAGGCGGGAUAGCAAGUCAGAUGUGAAAUCCUAUGGCUUAACCAUAGAACUGCAUUUGAAACUGUUAUUCUAGAGUAUGGGAGAGGUAGGUGGAAUUCUUGGUGUAGGGGUCAAAUCCGUAGAGAUCACGCAGAAUACUCAUUGCGAAGGCGACCUGCUAGAGCAUAACUGACGCUGAUGCGCGAAAGUGUGGGGAGCAAACAGGAUUAGAUACCCUAGUAGUC
rnacentral:rRNA from 1 species